rnacentral:siRNA from 1 species
AAAGCGGUCUGUCAGUAAAAUUGA